UACGUAGGUGGCAAGCGUUGUCCGGAUUUACUGGGUGUAAAGGGCGUGCAGCCGGGCUGACAAGUCAGAUGUGAAAUCCCGCGGCUCAACCGCGGAACUGCAUUUGAAACUGUCAGUCUUGAGUACCGGAGAGGUCAUCGGAAUUCCUUGUGUAGCGGUGAAAUGCAUAGAUAUCGCGCAGAACUCCGAUUGCGAAGGCAGCAUGCCGGCUCCACACUGACGCUGAGGCACGAAAGCGUGGGGAGCAAACAGG
rnacentral:rRNA from 1 species